rnacentral:rRNA from 1 species
CAUGCAAGUCGAGGGGUANUAAGUGCUUGCACUUAUGAGACCGGCGCACGGGUGCCUUUUGCGUAUGCAAUCUACCUUGUACAGAGGGAUAGCCCAGAGAAAUUUGGAUUAAUACCUCAUAGUAUUAUUGAGUGGCAUCAUUUGAUAAUUAAAGUUCCAACGGUACAAGAUGAGCAUGCGUCCCAUUAGUUAGUUGGUAAGGUAACGGCUUACCAAGACUAUGAUGGGUAGGGGUCCUGAGAGGGAGAUCCCCCACACUGGUACUGAGACACGGACCAGACUCCUACGGGAGGCAGCAGUGAGGAAUAUUGGACAAUGGGCGCAAGCCUGAUCCAGCCAUGCCGCGUGCAGGAAGACGGUCCUAUGGAUUGUAAACUGCUUUUAUACAGGAAGAAACACCUCUACGUGUAGAGGCUUGACGGUACUGUAAGAAUAAGGAUCGGCUAACUCCGUGCCAGCAGCCGCGGUAAUACGGAGGAUCCAAGCGUUAUCCGGAAUCAUUGGGUUUAAAGGGUCCGUAGGCGGCCUUAUAAGUCAGUGGUGAAAUCUCCUAGCUCAACUAGGAAACUGCCAUUGAUACUGUAGGGCUUGAAUUAUUAGGAAGUAACUAGAAUAUGUAGUGUAGCGGUGAAAUGCUUAGAUAUUACAUGGAAUACCAAUUGCGAAGGCAGGUUACUACUAAUACAUUGACGCUGAUGGACGAAAGCGUGGGUAGCGAACAGGAUUAGAUACCCUGGUAGUCCACGCCGUAAACGAUGGAUACUAGCUGUUCGGAGCAAUCUGAGUGGCUAAGCGAAAGUGAUAAGUAUCCCACCUGGGGAGUACGAACGCAA